GAUGAACGCUGGCGGCGUGCUUAACACAUGCAAGUCGAACGAAGCACUUUAUUUGAUUUCCUUCGGGACUGAUUAUUUUGUGACUGAGUGGCGGACGGGUGAGUAACGCGUGGGUAACCUGCCUUGUACAGGGGGAUAACAGUUGGAAACGGCUGCUAAUACCGCAUAAGCGCACGGCAUCGCAUGAUGCAGUGUGAAAAACUCCGGUGGUAUAAGAUGGACCCGCGUUGGAUUAGCUAGUUGGUGAGGUAACGGCUCACCAAGGCGACGAUCCAUAGCCGACCUGAGAGGGUGACCGGCCACAUUGGGACUGAGACACGGCCCAAACUCCUACGGGAGGCAGCAGUGGGGAAUAUUGCACAAUGGGCGAAAGCCUGAUGCAGCGACGCCGCGUGAGCGAAGAAGUAUUUCGGUAUGUAAAGCUCUAUCAGCAGGGAAGAUAAUGACGGUACCUGACUAAGAAGCACCGGCUAAAUACGUGCCAGCAGCCGCGGUAAUACGUAUGGUGCAAGCGUUAUCCGGAUUUACUGGGUGUAAAGGGAGCGCAGGCGGUGCGGCAAGUCUGAUGUGAAAGCCCGGGGCUCAACCCCGGUACUGCAUUGGAAACUGUCGUACUAGAGUGUCGGAGGGGUAAGCGGAAUUCCUAGUGUAGCGGUGAAAUGCGUAGAUAUUAGGAGGAACACCAGUGGCGAAGGCGGCUUUCUGGACGACAACUGACGCUGAGGCGCGAAAGUGUGGGGAGCAAACAGGAUUAGAUACCCUGGUAGUCCACACCGUAAACGAUGGAUACUAGGUGUAGGAGGUAUCGACCCCUUCUGUGCCGCAGUUAACACAAUAAGUAUCCCACCUGGGGAGUACGACCGCAAGGUUGAAACUCAAAGGAAUUGACGGGGGCCCGCACAAGCAGUGGAGUAUGUGGUUUAAUUCGAAGCAACGCGAAGAACCUUACCUGGGCUUGACAUCCCUGGAAUCGAGUAGAGAUACUUGAGUGCCUUCGGGAAUCAGGUGACAGGUGGUGCAUGGUUGUCGUCAGCUCGUGUCGUGAGAUGUUGGGUUAAGUCCCGCAACGAGCGCAACCCCUAUUGUCAGUUGCCAUCAUUAAGUUGGGCACUCUGGCGAGACUGCCGGUGACAAAUCGGAGGAAGGUGGGGGGGACGUCAAAUCAUCAUGCCCCUUAUGCCCAGGGCUACACACGUACUACAAUGGCCGAUAACAAAGUGCAGCGAAACCGUGAGGUGGAGCGAAUCACAAAACUCGGUCUCAGUUCAGAUUGCAGGCUGCAACUCGCCUGCAUGAAGUUGGAAUUGCUAGUAAUCGCGGAUCAGAAUGCCGCGGUGAAUAAAAUCCCGGGCCUUGCACA
rnacentral:rRNA from 1 species